rnacentral:rRNA from 1 species
GUGGUAUCCUGUCUGAAUAUGGGGGGACCAUCCUCCAAGGCUAAAUACUCCUGACUGACCGAUAGUGAACCAGUACCGUGAGGGAAAGGCGAAAAGAACCCCGGCGAGGGGAGUGAAAAAGAACCUGAAACCGUGUACGUACAAGCAGUGGGAGCACGCUUAGGCGUGUGACUGCGUACCUUUUGUAUAAUGGGUCAGCGACUUAUAUUCUGUAGCAAGGUUAACCGAAUAGGGGAGCCGAAGGGAAACCGAGUCUUAACUGGGCGUUAAGUUGCAGGGUAUAGACCCGAAACCCGGUGAUCUAGCCAUGGGCAGGUUGAAGGUUGGGUAACACUAACUGGAGGACCGAACCGACUAAUGUUGAAAAAUUAGCGGAUGACUUGUGGCUGGGGGUGAAAGGCCAAUCAAACCGGGAGAUAGCUGGUUCUCCCCGAAAGCUAUUUAGGUAGCGCCUCGUGAAUUCAUCUCCGGGGGUAGAGCACUGUUUCGGCAAGGGGGUCAUCCCGACUUACCAACCCGAUGCAAACUGCGAAUACCGGAGAAUGUUAUCACGGGAGACACACGGCGGGUGCUAACGUCCGUCGUGAAGAGGGAAACAACCCAGACCGCCAGCUAAGGUCCCAAAGUCAUGGUUAAGUGGGAAACGAUGUGGGAAGGCCCAGACAGCCAGGAUGUUGGCUUAGAAGCAGCCAUCAUUUAAAGAAAGCGUAAUAGCUCACUGGUCGAGUCGGCCUGCGCGGAAGAUGUAACGGGGCUAAACCAUGCACCGAAGCUGCGGCAGCGACGCUUAUGCGUUGUUGGGUAGGGGAGCGUUCUGUAAGCCUGUGAAGGUGUACUGUGAGGUAUGCUGGAGGUAUCAGAAGUGCGAAUGCUGACAUAAGUAACGAUAAAGCGGGUGAAAAGCCCGCUCGCCGGAAGACCAAGGGUUCCUGUCCAACGUUAAUCGGGGCAGGGUGAGUCGACCCCUAAGGCGAGGCCGAAAGGCGUAGUCGAUGGGAAACAGGUUAAUAUUCCUGUACUUGGUGUUACUGCGAAGGGGGGACGGAGAAGGCUAUGUUGGCCGGGCGACGGUUGUCCCGGUUUAAGCGUGUAGGCUGGUUUUCCAGGCAAAUCCGGAAAAUCAAGGCUGAGGCGUGAUGACGAGGCACUACGGUGCUGAAGCAACAAAUGCCCUGCUUCCAGGAAAAGCCUCUAAGCAUCAGGUAACAUCAAAUCGUACCCCAAACCGACACAGGUGGUCAGGUAGAGAAUACCAAGGCGCUUGAGAGAACUCGGGUGAAGGAACUAGGCAAAAUGGUGCCGUAACUUCGGGAGAAGGCACGCUGAUAUGUAGGUGAAGUCCCUCGCGGAUGGAGCUGAAAUCAGUCGAAGAUACCAGCUGGCUGCAACUGUUUAUUAAAAACACAGCACUGUGCAAACACGAAAGUGGACGUAUACGGUGUGACGCCUGCCCGGUGCCGGAAGGUUAAUUGAUGGGGUUAGCCGCAAGGCGAAGCUCUUGAUCGAAGCCCCGGUAAACGGCGGCCGUAACUAUAACGGUCCUAAGGUAGCGAAAUUCCUUGUCGGGUAAGUUCCGACCUGCACGAAUGGCGUAAUGAUGGCCAGGCUGUCUCCACCCGAGACUCAGUGAAAUUGAACUCGCUGUGAAGAUGCAGUGUACCCGCGGCAAGACGGAAAGACCCCGUGAACCUUUACUAUAGCUUGACACUGAACAUUGAGCCUUGAUG